GCUUUACUGCAGCUACGGUAGUUGAUUCCGAAACGCACCCAUAGUGACGUCGCUGGAGGGGGGCAAGCUGCUCCAAAACCGAUGGUACGUGCAUCUUUAUUUUGGAGCAGCAGCUUUUUAAGCUUUUUAUAAUAUAAUAAUAUUAUGUAAUUUCCUUGCAAUUUAUGGUACAAUAAGUGUUCUCAAAGCCUUGAAUCGGAACAAUGUCAAAGGUGAAGUGGUACAAAAAGUUAAACUAAGUGCAAAUGUUUCCGUGAAAGUGAUGUUCCAGGGCUAGAACAUAACAUUCAUAACAGAGAGGACACACGUCGCUCCAAAAUGGACGUCUGCACCUGAGAAUAAUGUAUUCUAACAGUACGGAGGUGAAUGAUGUUUCAGCUCUUUGCCAUGAAAUGAAAAUCCGUAUAAACGUUACGGAUUAUUAUUGCUGUGCGAACAUUGAUGAAUAGAUUCUAUGAUGAAAGGUGCCAAUCCCCUCAUGGAAAACGUUAAACUGCAGAAAACAUUGAUACUGAAAAUGGUGAAAAUGUACCGGAGACUGAAAUAUGGUAUUUGUAGUUGUCAUGGCACAAACACAGGGUUUAGUUUGAAACAUGUAAGGAAGAAAUCCAAGGAUAUGUGAAGAAAAAUUACAUUCUGGCAUCCAAGGAAAGGAGAUCAGUUUUCAACUCUAAUUAUAUAAUGGACUCAAGAAGGUUCCAGAGAAAUGUUUUCCACAUUUCCCUGACCACUGGACAUCCUGUUUAUUCACUCUAAGAUGACCCGAUUCUAGUUCGUUAAUUAUGUACUUAAGACGUGACACAUGCUCGAUCUACAUGGAUUUAUGUGUUUUCUGCAUUGUUAAUGAGCAAUCAAUGCCGAGGGACAGAUUCAAGCAACAUUUGCCUAACAGUGAAGUUAUGAAUAUGAAAAAUUCUAUCCAUCUUUUAUGGCUAUAUUCGUUGUCAGUUUGUUAGAAUUUAAAUUAGUUUCGCUGCGUGAUCCAUCUAUUGACUUGAAUAAUUACUUUAAUUUAUUUAUUUAAUAAUUUUAUUUAUUUAUUAUUGAGUUAAAUAUACAAUUACAACUUAUGGAACUUACCAUACGAAUCAAAAUGGAAAUCUAAUUUUUUGUGAGGUAAGAAGAGUUUACAUAAACAAUCGAAUUUCUAUACGUUGCAAAAUGUAAUUAUGAAUACGUUGAGAAUUCGAUUUCUAAUCAAAAAUGUUUUUAUUCUUACAAAAAAAAAGAUUUGACUGUUAUGUUACCAUCAUCUCUUAUAUGAUAAAACAGUUUUCAUCAUUAUUUUCAUGUGUCGGCAAAGUAGAGCAUAAGCCCAUUUUUGUUUUGCUUAAUUAUUCAUUUAUUACUUCUUGAAAUUGUUUAGUGAUAUUUUCAGUUUAAAAAAGAUUAAGGCAUUUAAAGAAAUAUAAGAAUUGCCCCCAUUGUUGUCCCUUGUUCUGAAGGUGUGCGUUUUUUGUAUAACCUGGAAGAAAGAUAAACAACAAUGGAGGAAAAUUAAUUGCACAUGGUUCAUUACGGGACUCGAAGUAAUCGGUCAUUCAUAACCCACGAGAUUUUAUUUACGGAAUAUAGAACUCAAUUUGGAAAACACGAAAUUUGACAGAUUCAUUUGGAUUUCAUAAUCCAUAGUUGUAAUUUUUUAAUAGUUGCACUGUCAAACGCCACAUAUUUUAGUGAAGUGAAUUAUUCAUCAUGAAAUCACUUUUAUACGUUGAUAUUCAAGUAUAAUGGUAGAAUACGAGUCAUGGGAAUGAAUUGAUGUACAUCUCGACAGGUGUUGUAUUUUUAACUCACGUGAGUUCGUUUGUCAAUACAGGUCGAAACGCAAACAUCAUCCAGUUGUGAUUAUUGACGUGAUUACACGAGUAUAUUUCACAUAAAAAAGUAUAAUGUAUAAAUUCUUGCAUUUUUA